UCCCUGGUGGUCCAGUGGCUAGGACUCAGCACUUUAACUGCUGUGAUACAGGUUCAAUCCCUGGUCAGGAAC
rnacentral:tRNA from 1 species